UCGGAUGGAUUUGAGUACGAGCGUCGGUUGACUGACCCGAAAGAUGGUGAACUAUGCGUGAAUAGGGUGAAGCCAGAGGAAACUCUGGUGGAGGCUCGCAGCGGUUCUGACGUGCAAAUCGAUCGUCAAAUUUGCGUAUAGGGGCGAAAGACUAAUCGAACCAUCUAGUAGCUGGUUCCAGCCGAAGUUUCCCUCAGGAUAGCAGUAACGUUUUCAGUUUUAUGAGGUAAAGCGAAUGAUUAGAGGCCUUGGGAUGAAACAUCCUUAACCUAUUCUCAAACUUUAAAUAUGUAAGAAGUCCUUGUUGCUUAAUUGAACGUGGACAUUUGAAUGCACCGUUACUAGUGGGCCAUUUUUGGUAAGCAGAACUGGCGAUGCGGGAUGAAACCGAACGUGAGGUUAAG
rnacentral:rRNA from 1 species